ACCACCAAUGUUCAGUUGGUAGAGCAUGAGAUUCUUAAUCUCAGGGCCAUGGGUUUGUGUCCCAAUGUGGGUG
rnacentral:tRNA from 1 species